AUUGAACGCUGGCGGCAUGCCUAACACAUGCAAGUCGAGCGGAUGAAGGGAGCUUGCUCCUGGCUUCUGCGGCGGACGGGCGAGUAAUGCCUAGGAGUCUGCCUUAUCGUGGGGGAUAAGGUCCGGACACGGGCGCUAAUCUCACACCCGUUAAGAGUGUGAACGGGGGGGAUCUACGGACCACGCGCUAUUAGCUGACCCUGGGUGGGAUUAGCUAGUUGGUGGGGUAAGGGCCUACCAAGGCGACGAUCCGUAACUGGUCUGAGAGGAUGAUCAGACACACUGGAACUGAGACACGGUCCAGACUCCUACGGGAGGCAGCAGUGGGGAAUAUUGGACAAUGGGCGAAAGCCUGAUCCAGCCAUGCCGCGUGUGUGAUGAAGGUCUUCGGAUUGUAAAACUCUUUUAUUUGGGAGGAAAAGAAGUAAGUUAAUACCUUGCUUUCUUGACGGUACCUAAAGAAUAAGCACCGGCUAACUACGUG
rnacentral:rRNA from 1 species